CUCUCUCUUCUCCCCUUUGCAACAGGAAGUGAAUGCUUGUAUGCAAUUGUUAUGUGCACUCUAGAAAUUAGGGGUUAAAGAAGGGUUCUUCUAAGAUCCUCAAAGUUCUUUGAAGAACCUUAGUGUUAUUGUCACUGAAUAUUGACCAGAAAAGUUUUGUCCAAGAACCCCAUAGGAGGUGGGGUUCAUCGAGGAACCUCCUCAGUUGGUGGGGGAUUCUUGCAGGAACCUAACUGCCCAACUGAAACAUUUGGAUUUGAAUUUGAAAGGACUGCAGGUGCAGGCAGGUGCAACUUAAACAUGUAAAGAUCUCCUUAAUUUAAGGUUUGUCCCUUGUAUGAUCUAAAUUGAUAUUGUUUUAUAAUGAUACUAUCUAUCUUUUCAUAACUUUCUAAAAACAGAAAAUGAACACAAUUCAAUGGAUAUCAAUCAACAAAGAGGUAUACAGAUGAGGAGGCAUACAAAGGUAUGCAAUAGGUAUUGGUAUGUUAUGCAGAUCAUCCUCCUCCCUUACUUCUUCAAUGAAAAUAUCAUAGGCCUCUACGUUAUGGACAAGACUUCACCCUCCCUACACCUCUGAUGAAUAUAUCAGGAAACCUGUUCGAUCACCAUGCACUGCAAAAUCAUUCGGUCUAUGGAUACGGAGAACAUCAACACAUUAACAUCAACAGGACAAAGGUGUGGUUAUACUGUAAGCCUAUCAAAGAUGGUGGAUGAAUGAAGAUGUCUUACUCAGGCAGUUUACCAUUGGAAAAAAUGGUCAAGGUUCCUGUCUGUGUAAGUUGGCGUUCCCAUGUGAGAGCAAUGGCUCUGGUCUACUUAUUGUCUCUCCCCGCUCUCCCCACCCACAGGGGGAAAUAAGUAGACCAGAGUGGCGCCACCCCCAGAGUGGGAUGUCUUGCUUUCUCUACCGCCUCUGGAUCUAUACUGUAUUACUUACCCCUAAAUGUACCUAUUGGUGCUUUGUUUCCAUCCCACAUAAUUGAUUUUUAAAGACAAUACAUAGGCCAGUACCUAAAUUAUUUUUUACAAAACCACACACACAAUGGUUUUGACUUGUAGAUAUGACUGAAUGAUUUUGUCACGUUGUUUCUUAUUGUGUUGCUGUAAGCCUAUGUGUAGGCCUGUGUUUUGUCUAUUACAAUAAAUUGUUUGAACUAAAGUCUCUCAUUUGAAAUGAAUAAU